UGACACAUGCGCGUGCGCGGACACGCCGGGGUGGGGGAGAUGCCUGCGGAAGUCUGUUUGCAUCGUGCGCCUCCUCUGUUUCGGGUAAAACUGCGAAGAGUCGCGCCGCACGAGGUCCGGACGCGUGAGCCAUGGUCUCCCGUCCCGCCCGGGCCGCUGCCUGCCCACGCACGCGUCCUCCGCGCCUCUCCGCGGGAGCCGCACCCACCCGGCCACUGUGGAUCCAGCCAGGGCCUUCACGCUGGGCUGCACACCACACCCUUUUCUCGUUUUUAAUUUGAGGCAGGGGCUUGCUAAGUUCCCCAGGGUGGGCUCAGACUUGCAGUUCUCCUGCCUCAGGCUCCCUGAGUGGCUGGGAUUACAACCGUGCUCCACCUGUCCCGGGCCUCUCUCCCCUUUUAUAGCUGAGUACUAUUUCACUGUGUAUGCGUCACAUUUGUUUCAACCAAGACAUUUCUUGUUACCUUUUAGAUACACAGAACAUGACAUUCGCGCAGGGAAUUGCACCUGUUGGAGCCGCGUCUUGCUGCUCCCUCCCCUCCCUUCAGCCCUCUUCCCCUCCUUGUGCAAAAGGAGAUGCUCUGUGCUUUCCCCAGUAACAUGAGGCCCGGGCAGGCGGGCAGGCCCUUCCACUGCUGAUCUAUGGAGAUGCCCCGCAACCUGGAAAGAAGCCACGCCCGUUUUGGCUUGGACAUUUCGCCCUAAGCAGCCGUUUUCUUGGUUCUCUGCCAAGCAGGACCUCACCUCGAAGGUGCCAACCUUUCUGGCUGAAGCAGGCUGGUGCCAGUGGCACCUCCGGGACCAGUGAAGGGGCUCCAGGAGCACCAGUGGAGGGCGAGGCGGGAGCUGGGGAAUCUCCUGGAAGGAUGUCUGCUGUCAACGCGAGCCGUGAAGUGGCUUCUGAA